UGAAGUGUAUACGUGUAUAAAUCAUUAUGUGGCCUACAAACUUCACUCCAUAAACCCCCCAAAUUUUUUGCAUUCAAGAGUACUAUUGGUAUUUUUUUUCUCAUUUACUCUGUUCCCUCCCACACACUCAUCCUUGAAGCCAUCCUAUUGGGGAUCUGUUAUUCUGAUAUCCCCUAAUGGGCCUACCUGCAUCCAAAGACAUAUUCCCAUUAUGUAGACUCUUCUUCUAGGAAUCCAUCUUUCUGAAAUAACCAUUUUCUUUUGCAGUUCUUUUUCACCAAAGCUAUCAGAUAUGAAGACCAUAUCCCAUUGCAUUUAUGAUCAGAGUUCUUGAUGUUAAUUUUCUUCAUUUUUGUAAUGCAUUAAUUUCACAAUGUACAAAAAAUGCAUUUUGAAGCAGGAAGAACUAGUGGCUUUACUGGAAUGAAAAUAACGCCUUAAGCAGAAUAACAGACUGUCUUGCAUCUGUGAAUUUUCAAGUUUUGACCAAUAUCAGUGUGGCUUGAGGCUGUUGGACAUCUGAUGACUGAAAGAGUAAAACAAGGACUUGAGAUUUAACUCCACUUUCACACACCGAUGAAUUAAUCUUUGCCGAUUGCUUUUGUGAAGAACGUGAGGAGCCAGCCAUUUGAGGAAACAGGAGCUUAAAACGGCCAUCAUUAGACAACACCAAUUGCAGACCUACAGGAAUUGCUGCCACUCAUUAUGGUCCUAGGACACUGCAUCUUAUUUUGUGUAUUUUCCAUUUAAAAAUCUUAUCUACUCUCCCUGAUGGUUUCUACCAUGGACUGAGUGCUACUACACUGCUUGAUCAAUCAAUCUCCUUCUUACCCUUUGUGGGGCUACAUAGAAAGUUUUCUGAAGAAACCAUCAUUGCCAUAAGUUUCUCUAGAGCAGUUCAUGUAGGUUCUCAAGUAUGCUGGAACACCUUGGAGACCUUAAAAGCCACACUCAUGUUCCAA